GAGAAAAUCCAAAAAGGAGAUUCUUCAUUUGAGUAAAGUAUUUUUAUUAUUAUAUUCGCUCAUUUAAGGAGCUGUUAUUGUAUUAAUUUGUGCUCUAAGCUAUUUUACUCUUUGUGAGUAUUUGUUCUUAUUUUUGGAGGAUUUCCAAAACAAGGGAAGGUUGAUCCAAACCUGAAAUCGGAGUAUUUUGGGUUGACUUGUACCCGGGAAACAAGUAGACUAGCUUGGGAUAGCUAGUGUCGGAGUUUCCGACGUUUGUAUUCGGGUUGAAUACAAGUAUAGUGGAUUAGAAUUCCCAAGUAGGAGCUUGGGGAGUGGAUGUAGGUGCAAGGUUGGCACCGAACCACUAUAAAUCCUUGUGUUUGUGGUGUGCUUUCUUGUUUCUCUUUAUUUCUUUAUUAUAUCCUUGCAUUCUUGCUUUAGGUAAUUAAUCUUGAAUUAAAGUCUUUGUUCUCAUUCAUCAUAAGUAAUUAAUUAAGC
rnacentral:lncRNA from 1 species